rnacentral:sRNA from 1 species
CCGCCUCUACCGCCCAGCGGACGCCGCCGCCGCCGCCGCCGCCGCCGCCGCGCACCUAGCUAGGUCCCCGAAGGGCGGGCAGGUGAGGCCUCGGGGUGCCGAUCCCUAGUGUCGACUAUGCGAGGUCUGAUUCCGGAGCUGCAAUGAUUGAAGUGGUAGCAGAGCUGAGCCGGGGUCCUGUAUUUUUGGCUGGGGAGGCGCUGGAGUGUGUAGUGACCGUCACCAACCCCCUUCCCCCCACGGCCACUUCUGCAUCCAGUGAGGCCCUGGCCUGGGCCAGUGCCCAAAUCCACUGCCAGUUCCAUGUCAGUGAGAGUCGAGUAGCACUGCCUCCCCCUGACUCUAGUCAGCCAGAUGUCCAGCCCGACAGCCAGACUGUCUUUCUGCCACACCGAGGUGAGAGGGGCCAGUGUAUCCUUUCUACUCCACCAAAAAUUCUAUUCUGUGACCUGAGGCUAGAUCCUGGAGAGUCCAAAUCAUGUGAGUGAUUGUCCCCAUCCCUGAAUUGCCUCCUAAGUCUCGUGGAGGGAGGACUCCUCUGGUGCCUCUGGCUGCCCUGACAACUACUUCCCAACCAGACUCCUACAGUGAAGUGCUGCCCAUAGAGGGACCACCCUCCUUUCGGGGUCAGUCAGUCAAGUACGUCUACAAACUGACCAUUGGCUGCCAGCGUGUCAACUCCCCUAUCACUUUACUCAGAGUCCCUCUGAGGGUUCUUGUGCUGACUGGCCUUCAGGAUGUCCGGUUUCCCCAGGAUGAGGCUGUAGCCCCAUCCAGUCCAUUCUUGGAGGAGGAUGAAGGUGGGAAGAAGGAUUCAUGGCUAGCUGAGCUGGCUGGGGAACGCCUAAUGGCUGCCACAUCCUGCCGCAGCCUCCAUCUAUACAAUAUCAGUGAUGGCCGAGGGAAAGUUGGGACGUUUGGCAUCUUCAAAUCUGUGUACAGACUUGGCGAGGACGUGGUGGGGACCUUAAACUUAGGGGAAGGAACCGUAGCUUGUUUGCAGUUUUCAGUCAGCUUACAGACCGAGGAGCGUGUACAGCCUGAGUACCAGCGGCGACGUGGGGCAGGGGGUGUCCCCUCUGUGUCACAUGUGACUCAUGCCCGGCACCAGGAAUCCUGCCUACAUACAACUAGAACCAGCUUCUCCCUCCCAAUCCCUCUCAGCUCCACCCCAGGCUUCUGUACAGCCAUUGUGUCCUUGAAGUGGAGAUUGCAUUUUGAAUUUGUAACGUCCCGAGAACCAGGAUUGGUACUCCUACCCCCUAUGGAACAGCCCGAACCUACCACCUGGACAGGACCUGAGCAAGUACCUGUAGACACCUUCAGCUGGGACCUCCCCAUCAAGCUGGAGGGAACCUGGGUAUUUUGACACGGGAUCAUCUGUAAGGCCCCAUCCUCCCUGUGCCCUCUCUGCUGCUCCUCCAUUCCUAAUGCCUCACCCCACUUUACCUUGAGCUUGGAAGUAGCACUUGCUGUAGACUCCUGGGUGCUGGAGGAGUAGAGACAUCACGAAGCAGAUGAUCCCCCAGCCUCCUAGGAUCCCCUUGGCCUGUCCAGCCCAGAGCAUCCUUAGGGCCAUUGCUGCUGCACAG